UGUGUGUGUGUGUGUGUGUGUGUGUGUGUGUGUGUGUGUGUGUACAUGCAGGCCAGCUCAUCUACAGAAUCAGUGUCCACUCCCAGG
rnacentral:miRNA from 1 species